ACUAUGAGAAGUUUUUUGCUUUAUUUUAUUGUUUAUUGUUUUGACGUUAUAUUUAAAAGGUUGAAAAUUAUAAGAUUAAAAUAAAUGUUUUAAUCCAACCCACAACACAAAAUACGAAUUAUGAAUGCCAGAUGAAGGCCAGAGGUGAAACAAAAUUCUAAGAUUACUUUCGGAAGUGUGCCAAAAACUACUUAAAAAUUUUACAACACAAGAUUAUUUUCUUCUUUGAAAUUAAGACUUCUUAUCUGUAAUAUACCUACCAAAAUUCAUUAAUAAAAACUUUCAAUAUCUUUCUUAAUUUAAAAGAGAUUUAUAAUAUUGUUACGCAACUUGGUAUGCUAUUCGAUGCUUGAUUUUAUCUAACACUGCUGAAAAUGCAGUCCUAAACAACAACACAAAGAUUUAUAAUUAAACCCUUUCCUAAGAUCAGUGCCACGAUUAUCAAUUUCCUAUCUGCUAAGCUAAUUAAAAACAAAUGAAAAUAAUUCGAGUAUUUAUAUACAGUUCAAAUAUUUUAGGAACGAAAUUACCCCAGAGCCGAAUGGUUACCAAAAUAAAAAGUAAGAAAUGUAAUACAGUAGUAUUCAUAUCUGCAAAUCUGCAAAUCUGUUUUACAAGUAAUUCUUAGAUUUCUUUUAUCAUCAGUUUAUAGAAAAAAUACAAUUAAAACAAUUAUACUUUCGCAUUUUGUAAUUAAUUGAUGUAAUGUGAUGCAAACUUGUUACUAUUUUAUUGUAUGCUGAUGUAAUGUAAUGCAAACUCAACACGAUGUGAAAUAAAAAGGAGAAUUAAACCGUUUUAAGUACAAAAUCGUGUACGUAACACAAUGUUUCAAGGCAAACAAAGUGUUAAACAAAAUCACGAAAUGCAUUAAUAAUUAAACACACUAUUUCAUAAAA